GAUAAGUCCCGCAACGAKCGCAACCCCUAUCAAUAGKGGCCAACAGGUAAUGCUGGGAACUYUAUUGAAACUGCCGCCGUAAGGCGUGAGGAAGGAGGGGAUGAUGUCAAGUCAUCAUGGCCUUUAUGCCCAGGGCUACACACGUGCUACAAUGGGGUGGACAAAGGGCUGCAACACGGUGACGUGAAGCCAAUCCCAAAAACCAUCUCUCAGUUCAGAUUGGAGUCUGCAACUCGACUCCAUGAAGCUGGAAUCGCUAGUAAUCGUAUAUCAGCAAUGAUACGGUGAAUACGUUCCCGGACCUUGCACACACCGCCCGUCAAGCCAUGGGAGCCGGGUGUACCUAAAGUCGGUAACCGCAAGGAGCUGCCUAGGGUAAAAUCGGUGACUGGGGCUAAGUCGUAACAAGGUAGCC
rnacentral:rRNA from 1 species